rnacentral:rRNA from 1 species
AGAACGAACGCUGGCGGCAGGCCUAACACAUGCAAGUCGAGCGCCCAGCAAUGGGAGCGGCGGACGGGUGCGUAACGCGUGGGAAUAUGCCUUUCGGUACGGAACAACUCAGGGAAACUUGAGCUAAUACCGUAUACGCCCUUAGGGGGAAAGAUUUAUCGCCGAAAGAUUAGCCCGCGUAGGAUUAGCUUGUUGGUGAGGUAAUGGCUCACCAAGGCGACGAUCCUUAGCUGGUUUGAGAGAACGACCAGCCACACUGGGACUGAGACACGGCCCAGACUCCUACGGGAGGCAGCAGUGGGGAAUCUUGGACAAUGGGGAAACCCUGAUCCAGCCAUGCCGCGUGAGUGAUGAAGGCCUUCGGGUUGUAAAACUCUUUCGACGGGGACGAUAAUGACGGUACCCGUAGAAGAAGCUCCGGCUAACUUCGUGCCAGCAGCCGC